GAGAGGCUCAUGAAAGCCAUGGACAAGAAAAAGAUCUUUGAAUCGAGAACGCCUUUCAAUUCUUUCUUUCUUUGAUUUUUGCGCCAAAUAUAGUUCGUCCUGACUUCGACUCCGGAGAUAAGGUCCGUCUGCUGGACAUAGACCCUGGGAUUCUCAAGGAACUGCAGAAAGUAAGGUGUGGCUGGAACGAACAAAUCAAAGAAUACAGAGGCAAAGUCGGUGAAGUCAUCGUGGUCGACAAAGAUGGCGAUGUCAAGGUCAACUUUGGCGGAGCGUCGUUCUUCAUCAAUCCCCUGUGUCUCGCCAUGGAGAAGAAGAAGGGAGCUGAAGAUACUAAAGCCGGUGCUGGAGAACUCAAUGCAGUUGAAUUACUUGCCUCUCUACUAUCUAAGACCAAAGUGGAUAAAAACGAGGAGCUGCGUCGUGAACCGGAUGAAAGAUCGAGCGGUAAGGCUCUCUUUAAUGCGGCAGCUAACGGCGACACCAACAAAGUGCGAGAGAUUCUCAUGAAUCAUCCC